rnacentral:lncRNA from 1 species
AAUUUAGUUCUCCCAUCAUACUUGUUAAGGGAAAAACAUAAGGCAUCCUGGAGCGAAAGGCGCCGACCAGGAAGCUCCCGACCAGGAAGCGCCGACCAGGAAGCGCCGAUCAGGAAGCGCCCGACCGGAGAGCGCCGACCAGAAGCGUCCGACCUGAUGACGCUCGGACUAGAAUGCGCCCAGCUUGGCAACUGGCUUGGCUCGGCACCCGCCCAGGUGCCGAAUUCUGAAAUACCUUGUCCAAAUAUUCGACCCUGGCCUAACUCCUUAAGGAAGUCUGACUCCAGAUACGCAACCUCACCGUAUCCUGCCACUGUCGUCAAACUAUUAUUGCGCAUGGCCUCUGCAGGCCUCCAGCACACUCAACCAUUAAAUGGGCAUGGUUCAUGAUGAUCUCCGGUUCACUCAACAAUUAAAGCGUAUGGCUUCUGUCGUCUACGGACAUUGAGCCUCUUACGGCAAACCUACUUGACAACUGAUGAUAGCAUGAUUCAACGAUGACUCGAGAGCUUCGACCUAAUCUCCAACAGUAACAACGUUGACUCACACGAUCGGGCAUUAAUUUCCACUCCAUACCAGAUUGUACGACAGGCCGUUUGCCCCGUUGCAUCACAGGUAACCCAGCUCCCUCUAUAAAAAGGGGACUCCUCCAUUUUAGGGGGGAAGUAAAAAAACCGACUUUCUACUAUUGUCUCUAUUCUCACACUUGCCCCCUC